rnacentral:rRNA from 1 species
UACGGAGGGGGCUAGCGUUGUUCGGAAUUACUGGGCGUAAAGCGCGCGUAGGCGGACCUGCAAGUCGGGGGGUGAAAGCCCGAGGCUCAACCUCGGAACUGCCUUCGAUACUGCGGGUCUCGAGUCCGGGAGAGGUGAGUGGAAUUCCUAGUGUAGAGGUGAAAUUCGUAGAUAUUAGGAAGAACACCAGUGGCGAAGGCGGCUCACUGGCCCGGUACUGACGCUGAGGCGCGAAAGCGUGGGGAGCAAACAGG